UUUUAUGAGAGUUUGAUCCUGGCUCAGGACGAACGCUGGCGGCGUGCCUAAUACAUGCAAGUCGAACGCUUCUUUUUCCACCGGAGCUUGCUCCACCGGAAAAAGAGGAGUGGCGAACGGGUGAGUAACACGUGGGUAACCUGCCCAUCAGAAGGGGAUAACACUUGGAAACAGGUGCUAAUACCGUAUAACAAUCAAAACCGCAUGGUUUUGAUUUGAAAGGCGCUUUCGGGUGUCGCUGAUGGAUGGACCCGCGGUGCAUUAGCUAGUUGGUGAGGUAACGGCUCACCAAGGCCACGAUGCAUAGCCGACCUGAGAGGGUGAUCGGCCACAUUGGGACUGAGACACGGCCCAAACUCCUACGGGAGGCAGCAGUAGGGAAUCUUCGGCAAUGGACGAAAGUCUGACCGAGCAACGCCGCGUGAGUGAAGAAGGUUUUCGGAUCGUAAAACUCUGUUGUUAGAGAAGAACAAGGAUGAGAGUAACUGUUC
rnacentral:rRNA from 1 species